ACUCCACGCCGCCCACGCUGCCCCCGGGUGGUCGCCGUGCACUCUCUGUCUCAAGGUAGGCCAGCUCCGGACUCGCCAGGAGCUGAUUCUGAUCCAUCUGGUUUUGCAGUGUCUCUGUUUAGGUCCAACCCCCGGAAACACACACCCGCAGCCCGACCACGCCACGAUUGAAGCCCCGGGUCAAAGUGGUUCGGGUGACCGCACUCGCUUCUCGCAACGCCGCCGCCCUGCGGCGUAGGGAACCCCAUUCUGUCCAGAGCGGCCUGUGGCGUGGUGAGUGCAGGCUUUUCUCCACAACUUGGUUCUUUUCAGAUUCAUCAAAGAUUGCGCAACAAACCUUGAUCUUUGGCAAAGGCGCUCUGGUCUCAGUAAAUGCUGAAGUCCUAAAACCACGAGAGGAAAUGGGUGCGUCGGAGCCUGAAACCAGGGCGAACACGCCACGUGCUCCCGGAUCUUCAGAGCCACUGGCUGCAGAUCUGGUACUGCGGGCUGCUCAGGGCCCUGGUGUUCCUCCCAGGCAGCAGGACCUUGGCUUCUGGUCUGAGUGAGGGGAGUGCUUCCUCUCCUGCUCAGAAUUGAAUACCGGCUGACCCCAGUGAUCACUCCAGCUCCUUGAAGCUAACAUCAGCCCACUUGCUCCCUGUAAACAAUAAUACACAGACACUACCUAUAGCAUAAACAUGAUAUGGGUUCCUUUGACGAAGACAUGAUGGGGCUAAGGAGAUGGCCUUUCCUGCUCUCCCACCGUAGAGGAUGUGGUUACCACUUUAAGACCAUGAUUUAGUAAAGGACCUGUCUGUCCCAUGAGAAACCCAUUGCUGGGUCCAGCAGUCUCCUGGAUUUCCACGUUACCAGCCAAGUUCCUGCAAAUUAGGUAAAACCCUACAGCCCAGAGCCCCCAACCACUAUCCUUAAGCAGCUUCUGGAGAGUCCUCUGAAGAUUCUAACCCGGUCACUCUCCUCCCCAGCCUGGCUCCUCACUAAAGGACUCCCAGGACCCCAAAGACAUCAUUCUACUGAGGGUUCAGACUGCUUCUUAGAAGCAGAAGUGAGGGGUUUGGAGGGACGCAAUACCAAUGUCCAAGGAAGCUACCCUCAGCCACUAAAAAAAAGAAAAAAAAAAAAGAAAAAACCACUCCAGGAUUGUCAAGUGUUCUCUCUCUGUAGGUUGGAAUGUUCAUCUCUUCAUGAUGGUGUGCCAGGAUGCAUAAAUGGUACCACGUGAUGAGAGAGAAGUGGCUUUGAAAGAAGCAGCCAUCAGAAGAGACCAAGAAGACAGAGGAAAAGACUCCUUCUAUCACCACCUUUCCCUUGGGGGGGGGUGCGUGUGUGUGUGUGUGUGUGUGUGUGUAUACUGGCUUGUGGUAGCUUGUGUGUGUGUGUGCACUUGCCUGUGGUAGCUUGUAUGUAUGUGUAUAUUUACCUGUAGUAGUUUGUGUGUGUGUGUUUGUUUGCACUUGCCUGUGGUAGCUUGUGUGUGUGUGUGCACUUGCCUGUGGUAGCUUGUGUGUGUGUGUGCACUUGCCUGUGGUAGCUUGUAAAUAUCAGAGGCUGAGAGGCUGAUUUCAGGAUAUCCUCUUUAAUCCUCUCUCAAACCUUUUUGUUGUUUGUUUGUGGGUAGUUUGUUUUGUUUUUUUCAAGACGGUGUUUUUCUGUGUAGCCCUGGCUGUCCUGGACACUCAAAGACCUGCCUGUCUCUGCCUCCCAAGUGCUGGGAUUAAAGGAUUUAAAUCUCUU
ensembl:processed_transcript 2900005J15Rik RIKEN cDNA 2900005J15 gene